GCUUGUAAGGAGCCCUCAACCUUGGCUGAGUCCUGUGGCAGGGGGCUCUUUCUGCACGGAUCAUAGGCGGUGAGUCCAGUAGUGUGCGCAGAAAGGCACCCAAUUUAAGGACGAUAAAAGAGUGUCUUGAAGCAUAGUCGGAUUAUUUUUGCUGCGGAGCAAUACUAAAGAAGCCACAUAGAAGGAGCAAGGUCACAUCUAGUUCUAUAGUACAGUGGAGGGGCCCUCACACUAAAGGUUGGUAGGUGGGAUCCGGAGUGAUUGAGGUCGAGAAUACACUCGGACGAAGGUCGGCAUCUGCCCGCGCAUAGCCGAACUCAGCAAUGACAAACAAAAAUACCCCCACCACAAUGUGCUUCGGCAUCCCAGCAGAUCAGCACGGUGCUCUCCGUGGGUAAACCUUCAAAGUCUGGACUGUCAAUCUCAUUAUAAACUUUUAAGACAUAUCUCACAGUUGUGUGGAUGAAAGUCUGACAUUUUGGACAAUUAUUUCCAGCCAAUCUGGUGAAAAAGGCUGGCAAAGUUACUCCUCCAGUCUGCCUUUAAAAAUUCAUGGUCAACAGACCUCGGCUAAGUCCCCUUCACCUCCCAAUCUGCCUUCAAUCGAAUUAAAGACUCUGGAAAAGAGUGUCUGCUCGUUGAUGUAGCCCAGGAA
rnacentral:lncRNA from 1 species